UACGGGGGGAGCAAGCGUUGUUCGGAUUUACUGGGCGUAAAGGGCGCGUAGGCGGCCACCGCAAGUCGACUGUGAAAUCUCCGGGCUUAACUCGGAAAGGUCAGCCGAUACUGCGGGGCUAGAGUGCAGAAGGGGGCAACUGGAAUUCUCGGUGUAGCGGAUGAAAUGCGUAGAUAUCGAGAGGAACACCUGCGGCGAAGGCGGGUUGCUGGGCUGACACUGACGCUGAAGCGCGAAAGCUAGGGGAGCGAACGGG
rnacentral:rRNA from 1 species